AUUGAACGCUGGCGGAAUGCUUUACACAUGCAAGUCGAGCGGCAGCGCGGGGGCAACCCUGGCGGCGAGCGGCGAACGGGUGAGUAACAUAUCGGAACGUACCCAGUCGUGGGGGAUAACUAUCCGAAAGGAUAGCUAAUACCGCAUACGUCCUGAGGGAGAAAGCGGGGGAUCGCAAGACCUCGCGCGAUUGGAGCGGCCGAUAUCGGAUUAGCUAGUUGGUGGGGUAAAGGCUCACCAAGGCGACGAUCCGUAGCGGGUCUGAGAGGACGACCCGCCACACUGGAACUGAGACACGGUCCAGACUCCUACGGGAGGCAGCAGUGGGGAAUUUUGGACAAUGGGGGCAACCCUGAUCCAGCCAUUCCGCGUGAGUGAAGAAGGCCUCGGUUGUAAGGACUCUUUCUAGCAGGAACGAAACGGUAGAAGG
rnacentral:rRNA from 1 species